rnacentral:rRNA from 1 species
UACGAGUGCCUCGAGCGUUAUCCGGAAUCAUUGGGCGUAAAGGGUGCGUAGGCGGCGAUAUUAGUCUCCCGUAAAAUCUCUGGGCUCAACCCAGAGUCCGCGGGAGAAACGGUAUUGCUAGAGGAUGGUAGGGGUCUCUGGAACUCAUGGUGUAGCGGUGAAAUGCGUUGAUAUCAUGGGGAACACCAAGAGCGAAGGCAAGAGACUGGACCACUCCUGACGCUGAAGCACGAAAGCGUGGGUCGCGAAUGGG